rnacentral:rRNA from 1 species
UACAGAGGUCCCAAGCGUUGUUCGGCUUCAUUGGGCGUACAGGUUGCGUAGGUGGCGCCGUAAGUCGGGUGUGAAAUUUCGGAGCUUAACUCCGAAACUGCAUUCGAUACUGCGGUGCUUGAGGACUGGAGAGGAGACUGGAAUUCAUGGUGUAGCAGUGAAAUGCGUAGAGAUCAUGAGGAAGACCAGUGGCGAAGGCGGGUCUCUGGACAGUUCCUGACACUGAUGCACGAAGGCCAGGGGAGCAAACAGG